rnacentral:rRNA from 1 species
UACGUAGGGUGCAAGCGUUAAUCGGAAUUACUGGGCGUAAAGCGUGCGCAGGCGGUUUUGUAAGUCAGAUGUGAAAUCCCCGGGCUUAACCUGGGAACUGCGUUUGAAACUACAAGGCUAGAGUGUGGCAGAGGGGGGUGGAAUUCCACGUGUAGCAGUGAAAUGCGUAGAGAUGUGGAGGAACACCGAUGGCGAAGGCAGCCCCCUGGGUUAACACUGACGCUCAGGCGACGAAAGCGUGGGGAGCAAACAGG